GAUGAACGCUGGCGGCGUGCCUAAUACAUGCAAGUCGAGCGACCGCACGAGAACCUUGCUUCUCUCAUGUUAGCGGCGGACGUGUGAUUAACACGUGCAUAACCUACCUAUAAGACUGGGAUAACUUCGGUAAACCGUAUCUAAUACCCGAUCAUAUUUUGAACCGCAUGGUUCUUAAGUGCUAGACGGUUUUGCUGUCUCUUUUAGAUUGUUCGACGCUGCAUUAGCUAGUUGGUAAGGGAACGGCUUACCAAGGCAACGAUGCAUAGCCGGCCUGAGAGGGUGAACGGCCACACUGGAACUGAGACAAGGACCAGACGCCGACGGGAGGCAGCAGUAGGGAAUCUUGGGCAAUGGGCGAAAGCAUGAAGGAGCAAAGCCGCGUGAGGGAUGAAGGACUUCGGAUCGUAAAAAGCUGUUAUAAGGGAAGAAAAGAAGUGGAAGUAAAUGUGGAGAUAAUGACGGUACCGAAAAAGAAAGCAACGGCUAACUAUGUG
rnacentral:rRNA from 1 species